CCCGCGGCAAGACGGAAAGACCCCGUGAACCUUUACUAUAGCUUGACACUGAACAUUGAGCCUUGAUGUGUAGGAUAGGUGGGAGGCUUUGAAGUGUGGACGCCAGUCUGCAUGGAGCCGACCUUGAAAUACCACCCUUUAAUGUUUGAUGUUCUAACGUGGACCCGUUACCCGGGUUGCGGACAGUGUCUGGUGGGUAGUUUGACUGGGGCGGUCUCCUCCUAAAGAGUAACGGAGGAGCACGAAGGUUGGCUAAUCCUGGUCGGACAUCAGGAGGUUAGUGCAAUGGCAUAAGCCAGCUUGACUGCGAGCGUGACGGCGCGAGCAGGUGCGAAAGCAGGUCAUAGUGAUCCGGUGGUUCUGAAUGGAAGGGCCAUCGCUCAACGGAUAAAAGGUACUCCGGGGAUAACAGGCUGAUACCGCCCAAGAGUUCAUAUCGACGGCGGUGUUUGGCACCUCGAUGUCGGCUCAUCACAUCCUGGGGCUGAAGUAGGUCCCAAGGGUAUGGCUGUUCGCCAUUUAAAGUGGUACGCGAGCUGGGUUUAGAACGUCGUGAGACAGUUCGGUCCCUAUCUGCCGUGGGCGCUGGAGAACUGAGGGGGGCUGCUCCUAGUACGAGAGGACCGGAGUGGACGCAUCACUGGUGUUCGGGUUGUCAUGCCAAUGGCACUGCCCGGUAGCUAAAUGCGGAAGAGAUAAGUGCUGAAAGCAUCUAAGCACGAAACUUGCCCCGAG
rnacentral:rRNA from 2 species